GGCCCGGCCCGGCCCGGCCCGCGGGCGGGAGGGCGGGCGACAGGCCGCGGCCCGAGUCAGGCCUUGGGGCCCGGCGAUAUGUGCCCGUGUCAGGCCAAGCCCGGCAGGUCCCUUCGGUCCCGUCACUGACACGCCGACCAGUGUUACCACCACAAGUGCUGCUACUACCAUUUUCAGCAGAGGAGCCAAGGUUUUAAUGAUUCCUGGAGACCGACCUGCCCUCCUACCCAGGAAGUGGUGCUUGCAAAACAGGGCUGAAGAUGAUCAGGGAGUCAGCAAGAGGAAUCUUUCACUGCUUUUGCCUGUACUCUACUAGUUCUGCAGACAGAGGACAUUCAUUCUCCAGGGAUUUCAUCUUCCACUCGCCCUGUAAUUCAUGUGGAAAAUAUUUAUUUUUUAAAAAUGAGUAAUAGGUUGAAAAGAAAAUAAAGAGCCAGUAAACAUA